GGUUUCUCUGUGUAGCGCUGGCUGUCCUGGAACUCACUCUGUAGACGAGGCUGGCCUGGAACUCACAGAUCCACCUGCCUCUGCCUCCCGAGUGCUGGGAUUAAAGGCGUGCGCCAUCACUGCCC
rnacentral:miRNA from 1 species